rnacentral:rRNA from 1 species
CCUAAUACAUGCAAGUCAAGGGGCUUAUGGUAGCAAUACUUUAAGUCACUGGCGUACGGGUGAGUAACGCGUAGACAACCUGCCCCUAACUCAGGCAUAACAUUUCUAACGAAAUGCUAACACCUGAUGAGGAAGAAGUUCCAAACUUAGGUUAGGGAUGGGUCUGCGUCUGAUUAGCUAGUUGGUGAGGUAACGGCUCACCAAGGCUACGAUCAGUAGCUGGUCUGAGAGGACGAACAGCCACACUGGAACUGAGACACGGUCCAGACUCCUACGGGAGGCAGCAGUAAGGAAUAUUGGUCAAUGGUUUAACAACUGAACCAGCGACGCCGCGUGUGGGAUGAAGGGGCUCUGCCUCGUAAACCACUGUCGGAUGGGACGAAAACCUCGCUCCGCGAGGCCAGACGGUACCAUCAAAGGAAGGGUCGGCUAACUACGUGCCAGCAGCCGCGGUAAUACGUAGGACCCGAGCGUUGUCCGGAUUUACUGGGUGUAAAGGGUGCGUAGGCGGACAGGUGCGUCAGAGGUGAAAUUUCCCGGCUUAACUGGGAGGGUGCCUUUGAUACGGCUUGUCUUGAGUGCGAAAGAGGAUGAUGGAAUUCCUGGUGUAGCGGUGAAAUGCGUAGAUAUCAGGAGGAACACCAGUGGCGAAGGCGGUCAUCUGGUUCGCAACUGACGCUGAGGCACGAAAGCGUGGGGAUCAAACAGGAUUAGAUACCCUGGUAGUCCACGCCUUAAACGAUGUAUGCUUGAUAUCGGAGAAAUUCGGUGUCGUAGGUAACCUGGUAAGCAUACCACCUGGGAAGUACGAUCGCAAGGUUGAAACUCAAAGGAAUUGACGGGGGCCCGCACAAGCGGUGGAUCAUGUGGUUUAAUUCGAUGCAACGCGAAAAACCUUACCUGGGCUUGAACAGUAAGAAGUAAGGAGAUGAAAGUCAAAUGACUCGUAAAAUCGAGAUCUUAUAGAGGUGCUGCAUGGCUGUCGUCAGCUCGUGCUGUGAGGUGUUGGG